AUGAUUGUAGCGGAGAGUGAUGGCCGGGCCGGUGGCCUAGUUUUGUUCUAUUAUAAGUUGAAUAAAGUGGUUUCGAACUAUGAGUCGCCUAAUUUUAUUGAUAUUCUUUUUUUAAAUGACGAUUCCGUGCAUUGGCGGUUCACGGGCUUUUAUGGUCAUCCGUUUUGGAGUGAGCAUAGUUUAUCCCGGGAUAAGCUCCGAAACCUACAUAGUAAGGGCAAGCACCCGUGGGUGGUUUUAGGUGAUUUUAAUGAAAUUUUACUCUCGUCGGAAAAAGAAGGUGGCAAUGCGAGACCGAAUGCAAUGAUGAGAGAUUUCCGCAAUUGCUUAGGAGAGUGCGGCCUCGAGGAUAUGGGAUGUAUUGGUGAUCCUUUCACUUGGAGGAGAGGCUAGACUAGAGAGAGACUUGACAUGGCGGUUUGCAAUGUGGAAUGGGCGAAUAUAUUCCCCCGGGGUGCGGUUAUAAAUGAGGAACAUGUUCAUUCCGAUCAUGGUCCCAUCAUC
rnacentral:rRNA from 1 species